AACGAACGCUGGCGGCAUGCCUAACACAUGCAAGUCGAACGAAGCCUUCGGGCUUAGUGGCGCACGGGUGCGCAACGCGUGGGAAUCUGCCUUUUGGUUCGGAAUAACAGUUGGAAACGACUGCUUAUACUGGAUGAUGACGAAAGUCCAAAGAUUUAUCGCAAGAUGAUGAGCCCGCGUAGGAUUAGCUAGUUGGUGUGGUAAAGCAGAACCAAGGAGACUAUCCUUAGCUUGUCUGAGAGGAUGGUCAGCCACACUGGGACUGGGACACGGCCCAGACUCCUACGGGAGGCAGCAGUGGGGAAUAUUGGACAAUGGGCGAAAGCCUGAUCCAGCAAUGCCGCGUGAGUGAUGAAGGCCCUAGGGUUGUAAAGCUCUUUUACCCGGGAUGAUAAUGACAGUACCGGGAGAAUAAGCCCCGGCUAACUCCGUGCCAGCCGCCGCCGUAA
rnacentral:rRNA from 1 species